rnacentral:misc_RNA from 1 species
CUGAAGAUCAUAGAGUCUGAGACUGCGUUCAACCAAGCGUGUGCUCGACUCUUACUCUUUAUCCACACACACCUUUGUGCACCAUGGGGGACCGUAAAAAAGUCCCCCCUUUUCACAUAAAAACCAGGUUAUAAUGCAUGGCUUUAUAAUGCUCUACGGAGUAAAAAAAAA